UGACAACACAAAAAUUGGUGGAACAAAGAUAGACUUACAAGGUUUCACUUUUUGAUGAUAUUCAGUGGCUCAUGCCUAUGGCCAAAUGGUGCCUUCUGGAGUAGGCAGUAAUGCAAUAUAGAACAAGGUUUUAACCUUGUAAGUCUAUCUACCAAAAAAACUUUAUAACAGUGUUAGCGUUAUGAUGUUCUGGCUUUGAAAUUGCUAUCUAUUGGGAUAACAUUAUACCACACCGUUAUUUGGCUUAAAGUUUCAAAAACUGUUUUCAUAUUAUUUUUGAUAAAAGGCUUUUACAUAAUUUUCACUGUGUUAUAAUGUGGAAAUAUCUGGUAGUAUUGUAAAGUAACCACAUUAUUCGACAGAACCAGUGUUUACAGAUUAAUCUUUUAGACCAAUUUUCUGUAUGUACCAUGAACUAUGAAGACAGUAAUGCAGUUUAUUUAUCUUCUUUAGUGAAUUACAAAAAUUAAAUAAUGUGCGAUAAACUGAUGAUGAUGAUGUAUGCUGGUCAUUACAUUUCAUAAUUGCUAUACAUGCUGUAACAGAAAGGAAGCGCAUCCUGAGAUGAUGGUUUCAAGGGCCAGCCAAGCUGGACUGUGCCAGUUGGCAUAGUCUAGUANNNNN
rnacentral:lncRNA from 1 species